UAGCUAUUUACCUGCUUCCAUGUCUCCCUGGGGCUUGGGUGCUGCGCAGUAACAGCAGUCCAAGAAGAUGACAUAGUUAACAACAUUGAAGAACAGACCGAUAAUUCCAGCACUGAGAACCAGUAUCGGCUCCUCUGUCUUCUGGGGAUUGAUGUACCUUUUGAUGGCUUCAACCAGGAUGCUGAACAUCAGUGCCACCGCAAAAAUGGUGUUCCCAAAUGCUCCCACAACAUCUGCCCGAAGAAAGCCGUAAGUGCUCUUCUUGUGCUGUUUUAUGUUACUGGCCCUUACACCAAAAAAACCUAUGAUCAUGGACACAAAGUGGGAAAGGACGGCAAAAGCAUCGGAGGCCAAGGAGAGGGAGUUGCCAACGUAAGCGAUCACUAGUUCCAUCACAAAGAGGAGGAUGCUAACGACGCACAUGAGGAUUAAACGGAAGCUUCUUCCGGAGUAUCGCCCCAUAUUACAACUCCUGGGUAACUCUUCCCUUCAGCCCUCCGGCGCUUGUCAUAUUUGGAAAUCACCUUUUAUAGGUUGCUAUAAAGCCAUAAAACAGUUUAAAGGGCAAUUAAGCAAGAGAUGUCACGUGAGCCAGGAUUUAUGGAAAUACAAGACACUGGCUUCAGAUAUGGACUUGAGA
rnacentral:lncRNA from 1 species